rnacentral:rRNA from 1 species
GACUCUCAUCAACGGAUAUCUUGCCUCUUGCAUCGAUGAAGAACGUAGCGAAAUGCAAUACUUGGUGUGAAUUGCAGAAUCCCGUGAACCAUCAAGUCUUUGAAUGCAAGUUGUGCCUGAAGCCAUUAGGCCAAGGGAACACCUUCCUGGGUGUUG